UCGGCUCGUUUAUUAAACUAGCCGAACAUGAGUCGAAAAAUUCAGCUUGUGUUCGGCUCGUUUAUUAACGAGCCGAACACGAGCUGGCUCACGAGCUGGCCAACGAACAAUAAAUUAAAAAAAAUUUAGAUUAAAUAUAUAUAUAAAAUAAAUUUAUAAAAUUUUAUCUAUUAGACUUUGAUCUAAUAGUUAAAACUUUACAUAUAAAUAAAUUUUUUUAUAAUUAAGCUCGCAUUUAUAUUUUUAAUUUGUUAAAAAUUAAAUAAUAAAAAUAUAUAUUAUAUAUAAUUAUUUAUUUAUAUAUAAAAAUAUAAAUUAAAUAAAUUAUAUAAAUAUAAAAUAUAUGUAUUUGAGCUGUUAUCGAGCCGAACACGAGUGAGCUGACCCAGCUCGUGUUCGGCUCGUUUAUUAAACGAGCUGAAAAAUCCAGCUCGUGUUC
rnacentral:lncRNA from 1 species